UGCAUAGUGCUUACUGCAUGAGGCUGUGA
rnacentral:piRNA from 1 species